AUCAUCUGGAAAGAUGAAUCAAAGAAGGUAAUAAUCCUGUAGUCGAAAAUGUUGUCUCUCUUGAGUGGAUCCUGAGUACGACGGAGCACGUGAAAUUCCGUCGGAAUCUGGGAGGACCAUCUCCUAAGGCUAAAUACUCUCUAGUGACCGAUAGUGAACCAGUACCGUGAGGGAAAGGUGAAAAGCACCCCGGAAGGGGAGUGAAAUAGAACCUGAAACCGUGUGCUUACAAGUAGUCAGAGCCCGUUAAUGGGUGAUGGCGUGCCUUUUGUAGAAUGAACCGGCGAGUUACGAUUUGAUGCAAGGUUAAGCAGUAAAUGUGGAGCCGUAGCGAAAGCGAGUCUGAAUAGGGCGUUUAGUAUUUGGUCGUAGACCCGAAACCAGGUGAUCUACCCUUGGUCAGGUUGAAGUUCAGGUAACACUGAAUGGAGGACCGAACCGACUUACGUUGAAAAGUGAGCGGAUGAACUGAGGGUAGCGGAGAAAUUCCAAUCGAACCUGGAGAUAGCUGGUUCUCUCCGAAAUAGCUUUAGGGCUAGCCUCAAGUGAUGAUUAUUGGAGGUAGAGCACUGUUUGGACGAGGGGCCCCUCUCGGGUUACCGAAUUCAGACAAACUCCGAAUGCCAAUUAAUUUAACUUGGGAGUCAGAACAUGGGUGAUAAGGUCCGUGUUCGAAAGGGAAACAGCCCAGACCACCAGCUAAGGUCCCAAAAUAUAUGUUAAGUGGAAAAGGAUGUGGCGUUGCCCAGACAACUAGGAUGUUGGCUUAGAAGCAGCCAUCAUUUAAAGAGUGCGUAAUAGCUCACUAGUCGAGUGACACUGCGCCGAAAAUGUACCGGGGCUAAACAUAUUACCGAAGCUGUGGAUUGUCCUUUGGACAAUGGUAGGAGAGCGUUCUAAGGGCGUUGAAGCAUGAUCGUAAGGACAUGUGGAGCGCUUAGAAGUGAGAAUGCCGGUGUGAGUAGCGAAAGACGGGUGAGAAUCCCGUCCACCGAUUGACUAAGGUUUCCAGAGGAAGGCUCGUCCGCUCUGGGUUAGUCGGGUCCUAAGCUGAGGCCGACAGGCGUAGGCGAUGGAUAACAGGUUGAUAUUCCUGUACCACCUAUAAUCGUUUUAAUCGAUGGGGGGACGCAGUAGGAUAGGCGAAGCGUGCGAUUGGAUUGCACGUCUAAGCAGUAAGGCUGAGUAUUAGGCAAA
rnacentral:rRNA from 1 species